UGGGGUGUCGCCAAGUGGAUCAAGGCACGGGACUUUGACUCCCGCAUUCGGAGGUUCGAAUCCUCCCACCCCAG
rnacentral:tRNA from 1 species